CUUAAGGAAUGGAUUGAGGAAUGUAAAAUAAGGUCAUGCAGAAUAAGGCAAUAAUAUGUACUAAAAGUACAUAUUAAAAGUACUAAAAAAAAACAACCAAUAUCCUAGUAUUACGCAUGCUAAUAAUAAGGAACUAAUUAAUAGAGAGAAUUGGACCCUAAAAUAAAGUGUUACCAGAAAAAACAACACAUGCUUCUUUUACACAAGGUUUCUUCUAUUUGAUUUUGGACAGAUAGUAGUGCAAAUUACAGUUUGUUC